GAGGUCCAACAGCCGAGCUUAGCCCACCGGGCUCUGGGAAAGACCCGACUGAGGCUAAAGCCGCCCCGGAAGGCCAAGUCCGAGUUCCAUUUCUUGAAGAGGCCGGCGCGCGUAAGGCUGUGACAUUGGCCCUGGCGACUGGCUUCCCAGGAGCUGUUCUUUCUCAGGAGCUCCACAGCGCGGGCCAUCUCCAGAAAACUGUCUUCAGAGUGUAUUUCCUUUUAUCGUCAACCCAGAGCCCCACCGCGGCUAAUGCAAGAGGCCAAAAAAUGUUUGGAGGAAGAAAAACAAAGGCAGGAAGUGGCGGCGGCCUGACGGUGCGUGUGUGUCUGCAGAGAAGGGAGGGAGCCGGCUCAGUCUCUUCUUGUUUUUCCAAACUUCAAGGUCCAGGCAGCCCUCUGCAGGGCCGGGCCCCAUUGCUCCCCGCGCGGCAUUGGAGGUGGCCGCCCGGAGAGGAGAAGGCCAACGCCUGCGCCAGGCUUGUCAGGCGGAAACGGCUAACAAGGAGAUUUGGUCAGCAAAACAGACCCAGCCUUUCCGAGGCUUCGUCUGACUUGGCCCGAAAGGUUGGGGAGGGGGGGCUUGCGCAGAGCCUCAGGGACCCUCCUCUCUGGGGACUACCAUCCCUGAGCCUUACGCUUCUUUCCACAGCCUUUGCAGGCGGAAUAUCGGAAUAAAGUGGGUCCAGGCGCC
rnacentral:lncRNA from 1 species